GUGAUGUGUUUAAUACACUAGGUGUAUUAUUACCUAGUGUGAGAUGUUAGAGCAACACUGAUUGCUUUGCUCUCCCCUGGUCUAAUUGCAGCACCUCAAGCCAGAAACCACACGUUCACAGUUCAUGCUCUAAUGUGCAAGACAGGGACUAGUAAAUGGUCUGUUGUGCUCUGAGUGUGUUGUCCUCUCUGGUUUUGUAUGUGAGGUUGCUGUGGAGGCGAGCUGCCUAGGAUCUUUGCAGAGAAAAGCAUAAUUUACCUUGAACUCUCUCAGUACUGUGUGGUACUGUGACAGGGAGGGCUGCUAAUGAUGCAAAACCCUGCCCACAGCCUUGAUCUUUACAAGUUGGCUGCAUGCACACACAUGUGAAAUGCUGCUUCAGCUGUUUUUUUAAUGAGGGGAGGGAACCCAAGAAUGAAGAGGGCUCACUUGCACACCCCUCUGCCAACAUGCUGCUUCGUGAGACCUGAAGGCUAUUGCAGAGCAUUGGAGUUGGACACAAAACCACUUGAAACACAUCCCUUAUCCCCAGACAGUGUCUUUUCUCUGCCUUGUCCCAUUUUCCUCUAUCUGUAUGAUCCUGCAGGAAACCAAUCCCUGAGACCAUAAGAUGAAGCUCGGAGGCAGCUCACCUCGACCUUGGUGUCAGUGGUAUCUUUGAGAACAACUCUAAAAGGUGAAAGCUCACAUGGUGUCUCAGUGUUGAAGUGGCAGGCAAACAUGGAGUGGUUGCUGCACCACCUCAGAGCCUGAACUUACUAGUGCAGGAAAUCCCUUUGCAGUGCCUGCCCUGCGCCACCACGGCUUCAGCAAAAGGCCUGUGCAAUGUCGGCAGAGGAUGUAACUGGGGGAAACAUGCUCUGAGAAAUGUUCUUAUAUAUAGCAGAGAGGAAAGGAACAGAGAAGUAAGAAAAAGGUUGCGCUGUGGUUUUCAGGCUCCCAUUGCCCAAUUGCCUUUGCACCGUGAGGUCCUUCUGCCACGUGCCCUGUGCCUUCAUCAGGGGUGUGGAAGAAAAGUAAUGCUGAUGCUUUACAGGAAUAACCUCUGAGCCACACUACAGCAGCUUCAUCUUCAAGAAACAAAGUGAGAAAAAAGAUAAAUAAGUCCAGUACAGCACAGUUUCAUGCACUGCUAAGAUCUGUGAGUGUUCCAGCACAUGGGCUUGGGUAUUGUCAUGCGUCUGGUCCAUCGCAGCAGGAGAGAUCCAUCUAGACCAGGUCAGCCAGAGAGCCACCGUGAAGGGAAAGCAAACUUUAAAAGUAAAUGAGAUGAGUCAUGUUGCCUGUUGGCAUAAAUGCAAAACAUUUAGGAGCAGGAAGCAUCUUUGUUUUUGUGCACGGGAAUGUGCUUCAGGUCAGGUUAUCACUGAGGUACAUUUCUGGCCAGCAAAAUAAGGGCUUGCUCCAGCAGCAAGACCAUCCUGCCUGUCAAGGAGAAGCAAUUUCAUGCAGUUCAAUGUCAGGUACCCAAGUCUUUGCUUUUCGUAUUUAGCACUGUAUUUAACAACACUGAAUCUGAAACCAGAAUCCUGCCACCUACUGCUAAUGGAAAUUCCAGAUGUGUUGUGUGCACAGCAGUCUCAACCCUAAAAACCUUAAAACCCUCAAAAACCUCACCAAAGCUCUCUGGGACUGGUCAGCUCUGCACAGGCUGGAAAAAAUAUCUGUGAGCCAUCUCAAUUGCCCUACUGGGACCUUGAGCCGAUGUAACGAUGUCUGUGGCAGCGCUGGCUUUCUUGGAGAACAAAGUGCUGUUUCCUUUUGCGCGCUGAACAAACAAACAGUGUGUGGGAAUUGGUUCCUACAGCAAUCCUUUUCUUUUUUUUUAAUAUUCAAGUCACUUUUUUAAGUAACUUUUUUUAAACUGACCUGUUUAGUGCUUGGGAAUGCCUGUGACUGCCUUCUGAAACUCAAAAACUGCAGAGGUGUCCAUGGCAAGAAUAGAAGACUAUUGCAAUGAUACCAGGGAUGGUUCUGCAGUUAAAAUUAAGCACAGAAGUGUCUGAAAACUGUCAGUCUGCCUAGUGCCAGAAUUCAUUAUGAAUUUGGUUUUUAAUAUAGUUUAGGGUAGAAAUCAUCCUAAUUAUCCUUUCUCCUUUAAUUAAAUAAGAAGUUUGCCAUUAGCCUCUGCUUCCCAAAACAUUAGACUCAUGUUUUGGAUUGAGCUUCUUGUGCCUGGGAAACGGGAGAACUGAAGAGAAACUGGGGAGAGAGACAAAGAGAAGACUGAAGGCAGGCUGUCACACAGGAACCAGGAGAAGGUAUAUUCUGUCCCUCCCAUCCUGUGGGGAUCCCAGAUGGCUGCUGUGUCAGCUGAAGUCACUCUCUGCUCUGUAACCUCUUCCUGAAGACUAGAGGAUACAGGUUCAACAGCCAGAAGCCUUCUGGGAAACUGCUUGAGAGUCAGCAGGUACCCAGGAGGUGAAAGUGGCUUUUCUUUGUAUUUAAAGUAAUACAUUUAAAGUGUAAAGUUUUCUAUUUUUCUCUAAAUUAAAGCUACUUUCUGUUUAAACAUUUACAAGUCUUUCAAGCACAUACCUCUGCCACAUACAAAUGCGUCUGUCUUAGAAAUCCUUGGAAAUACUGUAGUCUGUGUUUUCCAUAAUCCUUCAGAAAAUCAACUGUUCCAAGGGCUUACAGCUGGAGUAAUUUAACAGCCGUGCUGCAAAAAUGGCAAGGUAAGCAGCCCAGCAGAAGAUACAGUAGCCAAAACUCUUAUCUCAGGACCCACUGCUCGGAGAAUUGCAUCAGCUUCCCCUAGUAAAUAAUGAGUCUUAUUUAUAAAUUCACAUACAAUACAGAAAGGAAGCUUGUUGCACUAUUGUGGAGAUCAAAGAUUCAACGUGGGUUUUUUCCUCCUUCUCCUGUUUAGAGAACUAAAGUCAGUUUGUAUGUAUCUGUGUCCUUCUUCUUAUUGCUGAGACCAGCACAGUUGAUAGCCUUGGGUAUUUUUUUAAAGCUGCUUCUAAAGAUAAACAUUUUGCAAAAAUUCCCAGAAUGCAAGUGCUCAACUUAAUUUGCCCAGAGCUGUACUAUUUGUUGGCAGGCUGCUCCUUUAGAGGGGGUUUUAAGUUCCAAUUCGAUGUAUCACAUAUUAAUACAAAAUGAGAAACUUUUUCUGUGGUCAAGGGUGAAAUCCCUGCCUUACUGAGGUCCAAAGAAACAAAACUUUUAUUGAUUUAGUUCAAUAAUAUUCAGAGGCUAAUCCCAAAUCUCCUGCUCCCUUAUUAAGAACCAUUCUAUCACUGAAAAAAUAUGAACAAAGUUAUACAGCCUAAUCAAAACAAUCCCCAAAGUGCCUGAGCACACUCACAACAGCUUUUAAACUUGGAUUGUCGUUAGUUUUUCAAUGUCAGUUUGAGAGGCAGAGAGGAGAUGUUUUUUGUUAGCAUGCAGAACUCAGUCUGCCUUUUCUUUCAGGUUAUACUUUGUGAUGUGACAGACAACACACAGGUUCAUCACCACCUUCUUGGCUGCAGCAGGUAAUUUGUUCGGCUCCAUGUGUCAUGAUGACAGCUGCCAGACAGGAAUUUUCUUCCUCUCAUGCAAACAGUAGAUGUAUUUUCACUGGACAGGCUAGGAUGUUUUGAUCAAAUAUAAUACUAGAGAGAAAAAGAAAGAGAAAACAUAUAGUGUGUGUAUAUAUAUACACUAAAGUCUAUAUAGUGUAUACACAUACACACCCAUUUAUAUGUACACACACAUCUAUGCAUAAAUGGGUUGCUUAACAGCCUAUAAAAAACGCCACCUUACUAUGAGUCUUAUGGGUGUUUUCUUCUACAGAAGCAAAGGGCUAAUCAGGAGAGGAAACAGGAGCUGAAUUACCCCACCCACCUCCAUAGCCCCUGCUACAGCCAUUUAUCACAAUGUUUCUCAACCUUCUUAAGUUGGCAGCUUUUUAGGACUUGUUUUUGCAACCUUUUACAAAACCUAUUAAAAAAUGGUAUAAUAACAAAGUAACAAUAACACUUGUCUUAAGCACAGGUGUGGUAGGGACACAUGGGAGUUCCCCAGACAGUCAUGGGCUGUCAGAUCUGGCUGCGGGACAGAAAAAGAUUAACUUUGACCAGAAAUGUUGUAAGUAUUCCAGAGCAAAACAAAUUUAGGGGAGUUCAUGGCCAGCACUGUGCAGUCUGUUAAGGUUGUAUUUCCUGAAUAUUGAUUUUGUCAAUUUAAAGUGAGUUACACUCAAUGAAAAAUAGGUACUGGUAUCAGAAUUGCCAUCUUUUAAUAUUUAUAUUUAAAAAAAUGAAAAUCUCCAUCUUAUUACAUCAGAAUAAAUAAGAGGUGGACAGAAACAGUGUGAAAAUGACUGUAAGAAUUUUUUUCGCCUAGUCAGUGGAAAUUUAGUUCAUUAUUUGGUCUCUAAGUGCUAUUGAAACGAGAACACUUCUGAGAUGAUUUUAUUUGUCAGCCACAAACAUUUUCAGGUAAAAUCAAAAAUAGGAGGACAAAAAAAUGCAAGAUAGAUAUUGAAUAUGCAAAUAUUAGUAAGCAACUAUGCAAAAUAAAGGUAAAAGGAUUUAGAGUAAAAUUUAAUGUUUCAAGAAGUAUCUACAGAUCAUUGACUAAAAAAGAGACUAGCUAUAACCUGAAUUUAAUUCCAUAGACUUGACUUAUCUGAGGACUACUGUGAUACCUGUUUUCAUAUGGUGUUAAGAAAGCACACAGUUAUGUGUGUCCAGAUGAGUUAGCUUAAAUAUCAGUACACAUAAUAAUGCCAGCAAUUCGUAAUAUCACAGGCACCAACUGUUAAUAACCAACUGGUUAAUAACAAUGCAGGGGACUCAAAUGGUCACCAAUUCUGAACUGUAAGUCUUGGGAUAUUAACUAGAAUUAAUAUACCAGUGGGAUUUUUUAAAAAUAUAUUUUAUUAAAUUAAAGAUAUUUUAAUAUCUUGAAAUACUAAAUUCAGUGCCUCCAGAGGCAGAAAUUCAGAACCUCCAGAGGGAUUCAUUGUUUGGAGAGAGUUCCUCUGUAAAGUCAACCUGUUCUGCCAAGGCCAGACAGAACUACUGAACUCCCUGGGACUACUUUAGUAACACCACACAAGCAAGCAUAAACUGUAGGAGUAUCCGUAGCUGUCACUUAGAGCUACUUGAGACAUCAGUCCUAUAGAAAACCCCAGAUUCCCCUUGGAUAUACUCAGAUUUUACAGAGUGCAGACAAUAUUUUUCAUAUUGAAAUUUUACAUCAUCAGCUAUUUAUAUUUUCCCUUAAGCUUAAGCAAUUUUUACUGCUAAGUGUGUGUGUCCUGAGGAGACUUCAGAACCAUAACUUACACCUGAUGAAAUUUUUCCUGGCCCUUGCUGGAGAAGAGUGUAAUAAACCCAUUUUUGGUUAUCAUGUUGUUUUCCACCAUUCUCCUGAGUUUUGUCACAGCUAACACUCACUUCCCAUUGCUUUUUGAAUGGCUUCCUCCCAAACCCCUGUCCUGUUCUCUGCCUCCAGCUGAAGAGCAUUUUGGAGACAGGAAUCAGAGAAGGAAAGGUGUUUUUCUCCUCUGGAAGAGUCACUGUCUCUGAAAGUGUCUCUGGAUGUGGCACUUGGGGAUAUAGUUUAGGGGGAUUAUUGUGGUGCUGGGGUGAUAGUUGGACUAGAUGAUCUUGAAGGUCUUGUCGAACCCUGAUGAUUCUGUUAUUCUCAUUAAAAUGAAAGCCUAGAAAAUUAUUUUCUCAGUUUUAUGUCAUGAGAUUGAGAUGUUUUAUGUAGAUAUAGGCAAAUUUCAAACACUGGAAACCUAACUUGCAGCAGUGCACAGGUAAUAUCAUUUUGAUGGUCAUGGUCCUGACUGGAUUUCCUAUUUGUCCCAUUUAUUAGUUGUCCUGUGAUGGUCCCACAAAUAUUUCUGAAAUAAUCUCUCAAGUGUAUACCAAUUAUCACUGGCAGAAUUGCAAUAAACAGUUCUUAAUGGCCCAGUAGGUUUCUAAUCCAGGUUCAGUAAGCAAUUCCAAACCAAAACCAUUUCUCUGAAGGCAAGUUUAUUCUCUAAACAAGAUUUCCACUGAAAACCUUCAUGUUUAAGCAUAUUAAUUGUAGACCUCUUCUGCCAACAAAAUGAAGCAGGUUCACUCCAAGGAAUAGUUACGGUAAUUUAGACAACUACUGAAAACAGUUCUUAACAUUAUGGUUGUGAA